CCUACGGGGGGCAGCAGUCGAGAAUCAUUCACAAUGGGGGAAACCCUGAUGGUGCGACGCCGCGUGGGGGAUGAAGGUCUUCGGAUUGUAAACCCCUGUCAUUUGUGAACAACCGUUUAAAUUUAAUAGAUUUAAACCUGAUAGUAGCAAAAGAGGAAGGGACGGCUAACUCAGUGCCAGCAGCCGCGGUAAUACUGAGGUCCCAAGCGUUGUUCGGAUUUACUGGGCGUAAAGGGUGCGUAGGUGGCCAGGAAAGUUUGAUGUGAAAGCCCCGAGCUCAACUCGGGAAUUGCAUUGGAUACUACUUGGCUUGAGGAUCGGAGGGGAGACUGGAAUUCUCGGUGUAGCAGUGAAAUGCGUAGAUAUCGAGAGGAACACCAGUGGCGAAGGCGAGUCUCUGGACGAUUCCUGACACUGAGGCACGAAAGCUAGGGGAGCAA
rnacentral:rRNA from 1 species